AUGACUCUGGUUUCUCUUGUUGCGUGUGAGGGCUGUGGAGCUGAUCAUUAUAUGUAUUAUGUUGUUGAUGAGGAGAAAGGAAUAGAAGGUCUAGAGCAUGUUGGUUGUGAAGAUGAUGUGCAGCAGAUGUUGAUCCAAUUUGAUAAGGAAAAGAUUGUGAACAUACGAGUUGUCAGAGCAGACGAGCCUUGUAAUACAGAUGAAAAUAGAGAUAGUUAUUUUGCUGAACAUUGCAUUAACACACAACAAAGUUGCACGAAGCUGGUGGAUGCAACCAAAGACAGAAAGGAUGAGCUUAAGAACAACAAUCUUCAGGAGCGGCCACCAGUGCAAGAGGAGGAAGCAUGCUCAUCUAGCAAGAAAAACAAGGCCAAAAAGCAAAGCAUCGAAGGUCCUGUUCGUCGUUCAGAGCGUCUUCGUCUGCUGCGGAAGGACUGA
rnacentral:rRNA from 1 species